rnacentral:rRNA from 2 species
UAGUACGAGAGGACCGGAGUGGACGCAUCACUGGUGUUCGGGUUGUCAUGCCAAUGGCACUGCCCGGUAGCUAAAUGCGGAAGAGAUAAGUGCUGAAAGCAUCUAAGCACGAAACUUGCCCCGAGAUGAGUUCUCCCUGAGACUUUAGGUCUCCUGAAGGAACGUUGAAGACGACGACGUUGAUAGGCCGGGUGUGUAAGCGCAGCGAUGCGUUGAGCUAACCGGUACUAAUGAACCGUGAGGCUUAACCUUACAACGCCGAAG